rnacentral:lncRNA from 1 species
CCCUUUCCUCUCAAUUCUCUCUGCAGCCUCACAUAAACCCUAGCCGCCGCCACCCAAUUCCACCCUAAUCCACCUCAAUCCCCACCUAAUCAAUAGAAUCCCAUGGUUAUUUGAGAUGUAUACCGGUAUGGUGGCGCGUUUGUGUGAUUUCAUGGCCAUAUCUCAAAGAAAUUUGGUCCAGUUCUUGCUCAACCUCUAUCUCUUGUCUUUUUCUGGCAAUCCAUGGUGGUUCAAGUCAGAUCCUUUACUUUUCCAGUUAGAUCGGUAUCUUUUCAAAUUCUUUCUCACUUUUCUGAGUUCUCUGAAGCCCUAGCUUUAAGAUCUUUUGAUUUUCUUUCAGAUCUAUCUUAGAUCUGUGCUUAUUAUGAAGUUCUUAAGUGUUUGUCUCGAAGGAUCUUCGAUUUUUUUUCGAAAUGACUAUUCAUUUUUCGAUUAGGGUUUCUCUUAACCUCUUUUAAAGAUCUCUUCUCUAAUUUUUUGUGUUGUUUCAUGAUUUUUAC